rnacentral:rRNA from 1 species
AUUGAACGCUGGCGGCAUGCCUUACACAUGCAAGUCGAACGGCAGCGCGGACUUCGGUCUGGCGGCGAGUGGCGAACGGGUGAGUAAUGCAUCGGAACGUACCUUUCAGUGGGGGAUAACGUAGCGAAAGUUACGCUAAUACCGCAUAUUCUGUGAGCAGGAAAGCAGGGGAUCGCAAGACCUUGCGCUGAUUGAGCGGCCGAUGUCAGAUUAGCUAGUUGGUGAGGUAAAGGCUCACCAAGGCGACGAUCUGUAGCGGGUCUGAGAGGAUGAUCCGCCUCACUGGGACUGAGACACGGCCCAGACUCCUACGGGAGGCAGCAGUGGGGAAUUUUGGACAAUGGGGGCAACCCUGAUUCAGCCAUGCCGCGUGAGUGAAGAAGGCCUUCGGGUUGUAAAGCUCUUUCGGCCGGGAAGAAAUCGCAUGGGUUAAUACCCUGUGUGGAUGACGGUACCGGAAUAAGAAGCACCGGCUAACUACGUGCCAGCCGCCGCGGUAAGAC